rnacentral:rRNA from 1 species
UACGGAGGGUGCAAGCGUUGUUCGGAAUUACUGGGCGUAAAGCGCGUGUAGGCGGCCCUGCAAGUCGGAUGUGAAAUCCCACGGCUCAACCGUGGAAGUGCAUUCGAAACUGCAGGGCUAGAGUCCUGGAGAGGAAGGUGGAAUGCUUGGUGUAGAGGUGAAAUUCGUAGAUAUCAAGCGGAACACCGGUGGCGAAGGCGGCCUUCUGGACAGUGACUGACGCUGAGACGCGAAAGCGUGGGGAGCAAACAGG